GAAACACAUGAGAAAUGUGAUCUCUUAGCUUUUACAUUUUCAAAACAAAGGAUCAUGGUGGUUUAUCUCAAAGACUGGAAAAUAAACAUAAAAGACUAAUCAGCAAGACCAUGGGAGAAAAUAUGAAUAUAAAAACCCUUGGAGCUCGGCAGCAGAGAAUACGUUUGUGGAGGUCGUCAUUCUGAUGUCAGAUACUACCAUCAAACUCCUUCCAGGUGUUCAUCCUAUCAAAAGGACUCACUUCCCAGGAGGAAAGAAGACUGUGGAGGAGCUUGGGGACCAACUGAUAGUCCCAAAGUGGGUGGCUCUUGAACCGUGACUGAGAGAAAAGGGGACAGAGUGAGCAAUCCAGUUCAUACUCCCAUAAGUUACAUGCACCACCACCCACAGGACUUAUGAGAGGGUUGGGGGGAUUGCUCAAAUGCUUGCCACACAAAUAUGAAAACCUCCCUCACACCAGGUAGGCACUUACAAUGCUAAUGCUGGAAGGUAGGGGCAGGAGUACUACUGGGAUUCUCUGGCCAGCCAAAUAGCUGAAUCAGAGAGAUCCAGGUUGAGUUAGAGACCCUGUCCAACAAUCAAACAACAACUCCAAGAAUACAAAUAAACACACACGCACACACACACACACACACACACACACACACACACACACUAUUACUAAAGAUUCACAUGACAUAAGCCCCUCCAUGAGUUCUCACUGUGCAUUCAUGUCUACCUUUUCCCAUUGGUAACAUGUGCAGGAAGGAUGAUAUCAAAAGGGAAAGAGGUGCCCCCCAAAAGCAAGGAACAGGGCAGCAAACUGAUCAUCGUGUAUUGACUGGAACUAAGAUAAUGUUAAAAAUAUGACAGUUAGUUGGGGAAAGAUCGGUUAAAAUCCAUCAAGGCACUGGAAGACUACAGAACUUCUAAUCAUGGCCAUCUAUGUGUCAUUGGGCAUCUGAGAUGUCAACACACAGCAGAUCUUUAUAGAAAAAUGUACUCACAUUUGAAGCAUGUUAAAAAACUGACCAUCCCUGAUGGUAAUGAAAGAAGCCUAAAUAACAGCAAUGAUGUGGUCCCUAUUACAAUAGCAUCCAAGCAAUUAUGAGAGCCAUGGCUCAGAAUUCCAGGGAGGAAGCACAUGCCUAUGUAUAGCCAAUGGCUAUGGAUGCCCCUAUCACCCUAUUGCAAAACAAGACAUUCACACACAUAAAGUGCUGUAUGAGCUUGAGAGGUGGCUCAGCGGCGUAGAGCACAUAUUAUAUAUUAAAGCUCUUUUGGAGGUAUAGAACUCAAUUCCCCACACCCACAUGUUUGGCUUACAAAUCCCUUGUAAUUCCUGUUUCAGAGUACCAACAUCCUCUCUGGCCUUCUUGGAACCACAGACAUAUCCACACUCACACAUACAACUAAAAGUAGCAUCUUUUAGAAAACAUUACAUUUAAACCUGAGCUUGGAGGUGCGCACACACCUGUCAUUCCAGCACUCAAGGGGUUAAGGCAGGAUAAUUGCACAUUUAAGUCUAGUCUGGGCUAAAUAGCAAAACCCUGUCCCACACAAACACAAAUAUUAUCGUAUUGGUUAAGAAGAAAAAUAUCAACAAUAUGGACUGCAGGUUGUCAGGAAAUGGCUGAGUCUUGUCUAGAGGAAUGCACAAAUAACAACUUUAAUCAAGCUUUAAUCAUCUCUUUCCUCUUUCCUUCCUCUCCCAAUUUUUUUUGUUUUUGUUUUUGUUUUGAUUUUCCUAUCUGAGACAGGCUCUCAUGGUAUAGCCCAAGAUGGCCCGCAGAGUUGUAAUCCUGCUGGAACAGCCUCCAAGUGCUAAGAUUAUAAGGACACUCCACCAUGUCUAGACCUCUUUCCUUUUUCUGUCUUUUCAGUGUCCCUAGAGUAUUAUUGUACAGGCAAUAAAAGUAUCCAUGAAUUUGCACCAACUAACACUUUAUAGAAGUGAAUUUCAUACAUGCUUUGGAUGCCAAUGACUUUAUACAGGCAUGGGUGUGGAGCAUGUAAAUGAAUGCAUGAACAGAUUUCUAUAUGCAGAUAGAUUUACCUACAUGUAUAAAGAUGGUAAGUAGAUGCUAGGUAAAUAGAUACUUAUUUACACACAUAAACACAGAUGAUACACUCUGUUUAUAGUACACUUAUGUGUCUACACACAUUGAGAUACAUAGAUGGUAAAUACAUCUAUAUUCACAGAGAGGUAGAAUAAAUAGGCAGGAUUUAUUUAUAUGUAGACAUAUAUAAUUAUAUAGAUCAGUAAUUAGCAAGGAAAGCAAAGAGAUAAUUUGCAGAUGGUACACAAAGAGAAGUCAACUUUCUGCAUGUGUGUCAGGUAAGUUUUCUGUCUAGGUCUCCUGCAUUGCCAUAAUGAAUUCUUAAGAAGGGAUGCUUUAUUGCUGUUGAAGGUGAAGAAGCUGAGAGCUCCAGCCACCUGGGUUUACUCUACAAAGUAAUUCUCGAGGAGGAAAGCAUCACUUGGGCUGUGGAUGUAGCUCUAUCAGACUAGUUGCUUACACAACAUGCAUAGAGCCCUAGGUCUCUAGCAGUGCUGCAUCAACUGGAUGUGGUGGCGCACGUUUAAAACGUUAGUGCUAAGAAAGUGGAGGCAAGAAGAUCAGAAGUCCAAAGCCACCCUCAGCUACACAGUGAGAUUAAUGUUAUCGUGGGCUACAGGAGACCCUGCCUGAGGAAACAAAAAAGAAAGAAAGAAAGGAAAGCUACAUCAAACUUUAUCUUUAAAAAAAGAAAAGAUAAAGAAACAGAGAAGUGAAGGAGGGAGGGAAGGAAAUCAAGCAAGAAAAGAAGGAAGGAAAUGAGGAAUUGAGGGAGGGAAGAAAGGAGGGAUAGAGGGAAGGAAGGAAGGCAGGCAUACAUGCAUGUACCACUUGCUCAAUAGGAAAUUGAACCUGACCUUUCUCAUCUAAAGUCGAACAAAGUCAUCACCCACCUACGGGAACUUCAUCCUCAGCUGAACAUUUGCUUUCUCUCUGGCCCCUCUCAGAGACUCAGGGUUUCCACGUCCAAGUGAGCCUGAUACUCUGCCAGCUUCCUGCAUGGCUGAAUUAUACAGACAUGAUGGCCCCACCGUGUUCCGGCUGAGAAUCGCAGGUAAUGUCCUGCUCCCACUUGCCUGGCAUGCGACACUUCAGAAGGAAGAGACUCAGCCUGCAGAGGUCCCAGCUUUGUUUUCAGCACAUAAAAUAUCUGAAGAGACACACUGGGAACUCGCAGAAGUUUCCAGGGAAUUAUUUCAUUCCACUGACAAAAAUAUUUCCGUUUGGAAGCAAGCUAGCCUGUGCGUUGUGAGCUACAUGUUACAAAAGCAGAUCUUUCUCAUAUUAAAAAUAAACAUGGCAGCUGGCUAUCCCCCUUCA